ensembl:lncRNA
CAGAGGCCCAACUCUGUCGGCUCGCCAGGAAGAAAAGAUAUCAAAAGGAAAAUGGAGCAGAUGAAGGAGUCAUCCAAAUACAGAUGGAUCACCUCACACUCGAGUUCAAGAAGAACCAGAAUUUAACUCGAAGCUAUCAAAAAAUCCUCCAGUCAGCCACAAGUGAUAGACAGCGGCUCACCCAGGCGGUUCAGCGCAUAGAGACGACUAUGAGAACUGCAUCCCGCCUGCAGGAGGAAAUGAAAUCUCAGGGAGAGGAGGCAGUUAUGUGUAACCCCCUUAUUCUGGUUUCACAUUUGGAUGAGACUAAAGAUGAUACUGAGAGGUACUGUUACUCUUUUUGUACUCUGUAACUCUUGCAUAAGCCUGCUACACAAAACACAUAGCUCUCUCUUAAGUAAUCAUUUAUAAGAUUGCCAUGAUUACAUACAGGUAUGGCCUCAAGGACCUGGUUAAAGACAGUGGGUCUCAUUUGGGAAGAGUAGUGGAUCAACCUAAUCAGAAGGUAGACCUGGCUUUGGACAAGUGUAUGGCCAAGGAGGUGCAGCUCUGUCAUGAGUUAAUGCUGAGGAAAUCCCAGGCAUCACCAGGAAUGUUUUCACUGGAGGGCAGUGGCACAGAAAGGUGCACAAACAUCAAUGGUGAUCAUGUCACAAGAUUCAGAGAUUCUGCUGUGCAGACUGAUCAGGACAUCAAACAAUAUGCUGAUGAAAAAGUUG